GCUACCUCUCCUCAGAUCUUUCUUUCUCCAGCUGGACGGUAGAACUGACAGGGGAUCUGGAGACCAUCUCCCACUUCCUGGCUGAGACCGAGGGCCCAGAGGUGGGACCGAAUCACCCCGAGGCAGUCACAGAAGCCUGGGCCAGUGCUGUCCACGUACAUAUGUUUUCCUGCCUUCUUUGAGUCUAUAUCUGGUGUAUGAGAUAUAGUGAAAACGUUUUCUGGGAGUUCCAGUAAAGCUGCAUAAAAGGCAAGAGGUGAGAAUUGCUGCUGAGAACCCGGGGAUUGAACUUGAUGGUCAACCACAGUAUAUGGCGAAUUUCCUAACAAAUUUGGGGAUGAUCCAGCUUUGGGAGAGGAGAAAAGAAAACUAUAUUGAUUUCUGCUACAUGUUUUGGAGGCUCUGCUGUUUGGUGAAAACACAUUAGGCUUGUUGUCUUUCUGGUGGAUCGAUUCUCUUAUUGUUGUCUAAUGUGCCUCUUUUCUUCUAAUAAUACUGCCUGUUCUGAAGUCUACUUUAUCUAAUAUUAAUAUAGCCAGUCCUGCUUUUUAAAAAUUAACAUUAGCAUGGUGUACUUUUCCAUCCUUUU
rnacentral:lncRNA from 1 species